rnacentral:rRNA from 1 species
GACGAACGCUGGCGGCGUGCUUAAUACAUGCAAGUCGAACGGAAAGGCCCUGCUUUUGUGGGUUGCUCGAGUGGCGAACGGGUGAGUAACACGCGAGUAACCUGCACCUAACUUUGGGAUAACUUCAGGAAAAUGGGGCUAAUAUCGGAUAGGAGCUCCUGCUGCAUGGUGGGGGAUAGAAAGAUUCGGCGGUUGGGGAUGGACUCGCGGGUUAUCAGCUUGAUUGUGUGGUAGUGGAUUACCAAGCCUUUGACGGGUAGCCCGCCUGAGAGGGUGACCGGCCACAUGAGUACUGAGAGACGGCGCAGAAUCGUACGUGACGCAGCAGUGGGGAGUAUGGCACAGUGGGCGGGAGCCUGAUGCAGCGGCGCCGCGUUCGGGAUGACGGCCUUCGGGUUGUAAACCUCUUUCGCCUGUGACGAAGCGUGAGUGACGGUAAUUGGUAAAAAAGCACCGGCUAACUACGUG